UACGUAGGCAGCGAGCGUUGUUCGGAGUUACUGGGCGUAAAGGGUGCGUAGGCGGUUGCUUAAGUUUGGUGUGAAAUCUCCCGGCUCAACCGGGAGGGUGCGCCGAAUACUGAGUGACUAGAGUGCGGGAGAGGAAAGUGGAAUUCCUGGUGUAGCGGUGAAAUGCGUAGAUAUCAGGAGGAACACCGGUGGUGUAGACGGCUUUCUGGACCGUAACUGACGCUGAGACACGAAAGCGUGGGUAGCAAACAGG
rnacentral:rRNA from 1 species